rfam:Glossina fuscipes fuscipes unplaced genomic scaffold Scaffold11, whole genome shotgun sequence.
CAUGCGGUUCUAAUUAGAACCACAGAUUUUUUUUAUAUAAUUAUUAU